AUUGAACGCUGGCGGCAUGCUUUACACAUGCAAGUCGGACGAGUGGCGAACGGGUGAGUAACGCAUCGGAACGUACCGAGUAAUGGGGGAUAACUGUCCGAAAGGACAGCUAAUACCGCAUAUUAUUCGAGCGGCCGAUGUCUGCUUAGCUGGUUGGCGGGGGAAAGGCCCACCAAGGCGACGAUCAGUAGCGGGUCUGAGAGGCUGAUUCGCCACACUGGGACUGGGACACGGCCCAGCCUCGUACGGGAGGCAGCAGUGGGGAAUUUUGGCCAAUGGGCGCAAGCCUGCCCCAGCCAUGCCGCGUGUCUGAAGAAGGCCUUCGGGUUGUAAAGGACUUUUGUCAGGGAAGCGGUACCUGAAGAAUAAGCACCGGCUAACUACGUGCCAGCCGCCGCGGUAAUAC
rnacentral:rRNA from 1 species